AUGGAGUUUCUGUGUUGUCUAAUGAAGCAGUCAAGUAUGCAAUCUGAGCAGAAUAUCAUUAAAAGGAGGGCAGCAGCCUCGACGCGGCGAUCACGUCGCUCCUUAGCGUGGAGAUGUAGUGCCACCUGGCCGGCAGAAGGAAGUCCGCCGAUCGUCAAGAUCUGCUUCAAGGACGGCGCCUGGAAGAAGCUCAAUGACCAGAUCAUCGUCCUCUCCAAGAGGAGGGGUCAGUUCAAGCAGUGUUGUUAUAAAGAUUCUCUCCUGGCCAUCGUGUAUCUCUCCUACAUAGCUAGCCCGGUGACAUCUCAUCCAUGGUUGUACCUUUUCCUCUUUUUCCCCUUGCAGGUUGGUCCGCUGUCUACAGGUGCUCGUUAUUCUGGCCAGUUUGUCGUGCUCUAUCUUCGACCACCUCUUUGCAGGUUGUCCCCUUCUCCCCCUCUCUUCUAUGCUUUCCAGGCCUAG
rnacentral:rRNA from 1 species